rnacentral:rRNA from 1 species
AGUCUGACGGAGCACGCCGCGUGAGUGAUGAAGGCUUUCGGGUCGUAAAACUCUGUUGUUAGGGAAGAACAAGUGCUAGUUGAAUAAGCUGGCACCUUGACGGUACCUAACCAGAAAGCCACGGCUAACUACGUGCCAGCAGCCGCGGUAAUACGUAGGUGGCAAGCGUUAUCCGGAAUUAUUGGGCGUAAAGCGCGCGCAGGUGGUUUCUUAAGUCUGAUGUGAAAGCCCACGGCUCAACCGUGGAGGGUCAUUGGAAACUGGGAGACUUGAGUGCAGAAGAGGAAAGUGGAAUUCCAUGUGUAGCGGUGAAAUGCGUAGAGAUAUGGAGGAACACCAGUGGCGAAGGCGACUUUCUGGUCUGUAACUGACACUGAGGCGCGAAAGCGUGGGGAGCAAACAGGAUUAGAUACCCUGGUAGUCCACGCCGUAAACGAUGAGUGCUAAGUGUUAGAGGGUUUCCGCCCUUUAGUGCUGAAGUUAACGCAUUAAGCACUCCGCCUGGGGAGUACGGCCGCAAGGCUGAAACUCAAAGGAAUUGACGG